rnacentral:rRNA from 1 species
GACGAACGCUGGCGGCGUGCCUAAUACAUGCAAGUUGAGCGAUGAAGAUUGGUGCUUGCACCAAUUUGAAGAGCAGCGAACGGGUGAGUAACGCGUGGGGAAUCUGCCUUUGAGCGGGGGACAACAUUUGGAAACGAACGCUAAUACCGCAUAACAACUUUAAACAUAAGUUUUAAGUUUGAAAGAUGCAAUUGCAUCACUCAAAGAUGAUCCCGCGUUGUAUUAGCUAGUUGGUGAGGUAAAGGCUCACCAAGGCGAUGAUACAUAGCCGACCUGAGAGGGUGAUCGGCCACAUUGGGACUGAGACACGGCCCAAACUCCUACGGGAGGCAGCAGUAGGGAAUCUUCGGCAAUGGACGAAAGUCUGACCGAGCAACGCCGCGUGAGUGAAGAAGGUUUUCGGAUCGUAAAACUCUGUUGGUAGAGAAGAACGUUGGUGAGAGUGGAAAGCUCAUCAAGUGACGGUAACUACCCAGAAAGGGACGGCUAACUACGUG